rnacentral:rRNA from 1 species
UACGGAAGGCAGCAGUGGGGAAUAUUGCACAAUGGGCGAAAGCCUGAUGCAGCUAUGCCGCGUGUAUGAAGAAGGCCUUAGGGUUGUAAAGUACUUUUCAUCGGGGAGGAAAAAACAAAACUAAUAAUUUUAUUUCUUGACGUUACCCGAAAAAGAAGCACCGGCUAACUCCGUGCCAGCAGCCGCGGUAAUACGGAGGGUGCUAGCGUUAAUCAGAAUUACUGGGCGUAAAGAGCACGUAGGUGGUUUUUUUAAGUCAGAUGUGAAAUCCCUGGGCUUAACCUAGGAACUGCAUUUUGAAACUGAAAUACUAGAGUAUCGUAGAGGGAGGUAGAAUUCUAGGUGUAGCGGUGAAAUGCGUAGAUAUCUGGAGGAAUACCUGUGGCGAAAGCGGCCUCCUAAACGAAUACUGACACUGAGGUGCGAAAAGCGUGGGGAGCAAAACAGGGAUUAGAUACC